ensembl:snoRNA
AUCCUUUGUGUUUCCUAAGUGUGAUGAUUGAGUUUUCAUACUCAUGUGCAGUGUGCCUCCUUUAAGCCUCAUUAUGACAUGAGCAUAUUACCCAUCUGACG